GCCGGGCAUGGUGGCACAUGCCUGUAAUCCCAGUUACUUGGGAGGCUGAGGCAGGAGAAUUGCUUGAACCCAGGAGGUCGAGGUUGCAGUGAGCCAAGAUCAUGCCAUUGCACUCCAGCCUGAGUGAUACAGCAAGACUUCAUCUCAAAAGAAAAAAGAGAGAGAGAGAGAGAAGGUCUCACUCUGUCGCCCAGGCUGGAUUGCAGUGGCAUGUUACGGCUCACUGCAACCUCAAACUACUAGGCUCAAAUGAUCCUCCCACC
rnacentral:lncRNA from 1 species